rnacentral:rRNA from 1 species
GACAGAGGGGGCUAGCGUUGCUCGGAAUGACUGGGCGUAAAGGGCGCGUAGGCGGACUGCACAGUCAGGCGUGAAAUUCCUGGGCUUAACCUGGGGACUGCGUCUGAGACGUGUGAUCUAGAGUGAGGAAGAGGGUCGUGGAAUUUCCAGUGUAGAGGUGAAAUUUGUAGAUAUUGGAAAGAACACCGGUGGCGAAGGCGGCGACCUGGUCCUUGACUGACGCUGAGGCGCGAAAGCGUGGGGAGCAAACAGG